ACCACCAAACAUUUCGAAAAAUGUGACGGCUUCUCUACUCCAGAGUGAUGCAAAGUUUUGGUUUUGGAUUACCUGCUAGUCCAGGAGCCAAAGGUGGACCUGGAGUUAAAGACGAGCCUGGUCCCAGAGGUCAUGCCGGCAUGUCCGGUGACCCUUGACCUUUGGGAAGCAAAGGAGAGAGAGGAGCGAUGGGCGUUCCAGGUGCUCAAGGUCUGAGUGGAACCAAAGGAGACAAGGUGUCCCCCAGGGUUGGGUGCUUGGUCCACUUCUCUUCAUUGUACAUGCUCCCCCUCGGUAACAUCAUCCGCCGCCAUCACCUCCAAUUCCACUGCUACGCAGAUGAUGUCCAGCUACAUCUCCACAAAAUCUCUCCACCCUGACCGACUGCCUCACUGAAAUCAAAUCAUGGCUGCACUCCAACUUCCUCAAACUCAACUGACAAAUCUGACAUGCUCAUCGUGGGCCCCAAAUCCCUCACCAAAACUGCUCACAACUCUACUCUGUCCCCAUCCACUCACAUCCGCAACCUCGGAGUCAUUCUGGACAAUAAGCUCUCUUUUCAACACCGGGUCAACCACAUCACAAGAACUGCUUUCUUCCACCUCCAAAAUAUUGCCCGUCUCCGUCCAUCCUUCUCUGCCGCUGAAACCCUGAUCCAUGCCUUCAUCACCUCCACACUUGACUACUGUAACGGCAUCCUCUACGACUCAUCUUGCAAAAUUCUCAAACUCCAAUACGUUCAAAACUCUGCCGCCCGCCUGCUCAGCCACACCCGCUCCCGUGAGCACAUCACCCCAGUCCUCCAGAAACUCCACUGGCUCCCCAGUCCUCACCGGAUCCACUUUAAAUCCUCCUCCUC